GAUAGGGAGCCACUGGAGUUUAUUGGAAAGUUUAUUGGUCAGUUCUACACAUUAAGAAGAUGGUUCUGGUUGCUGAGUGAAGGAUGGGUUGGAGUAGGAAAAGCCUGGUAGCAGAGAAGCCAACCAGCUACCGUGAUAUACCAGUAUGAGCAGAUUACCAGCUCUGGCAGGUGAUAUCAAGUUGACAAGACUUCAAGGAUGGGCCUGGCAGCAGGCCUAAGGAUCAUCCUAGCUAAGUUUGAAGAGGUUUAUCACAGGAAUGCUGGCUACCAGGAUUUAUUUUUGACUUACAACAACUCAUUAAAAUGUCUUAAGAUAUGUAAAACUUGUCAUCUGCAAUGAUGGAUGGACUGUGCACAAUGAAACAAUAAAUCUUUCGAAGUAAUGAAAUACA